rnacentral:lncRNA from 1 species
CGUUUCCUCUUUUUAUAAAUAAAUGUUUUGGUUUCAAUUCUUUGGGAAAUAUAUUCCCCCAAUAUUUUUGACCAACCGUAGAAAAUUGGCGCCAACUACGCGGUGGGUGGCAUACAUUACCCACAGCGUUAGCUGCAAUCGACGGAACCUCUCAGACUACAUACUGAGCCUCAAGAACAAUUUUAUACCGGACACAGACAUUGAAUUCAUACACAAGUGAUUGUUGACAAUAAAAUCCUAAAAGAUUUAGUUUCCUAGGACAUCAAAAUGAUGUUCAUCAAUAUUUGGACCAGGUUUGGAGUUAGAUUUCCCCCAGAAUUUUGUCAUCUUAGCAGAUAAAAUUUAUCUAUGUCGAUCGCCCCUUGUUACCCCCUGCAGUCGCCAUCAUCUAAGAGCUAAACCACAAACAGAAAGAAGAAAAUGUUAAAAAAAUUAAUUUGCGUAUAUCAGAGUGUCGGGUAUAUGUCGAUCACGCUAUAAGGCGCCUAAAAUCUUUCAGUCAUUGGAAGCUUACGGAGACACCCGAGAGAAAAAAUGAACCAGACUGUAGAGCUUUGUGUGGGAUUAGUGGAGCGACAGAUUUAACUUUUUCAGGAACUAUAAUACAACAAUAAAACUAAAAUCUAGCUGGCUUACUAUGUAUAUAUUAUCAAUAUAAAUUUUAGAAUCGAAUGAACUUGUAUAUCUCUCAGCCCACCCACUCCUGCACGCGUACACCUUUCAUGUCUAAUGAUAGCCAGCAAUGAUAUCACAAUAGCAAUUGUCAUAUAGGAUGUUAAACUGUUAAAUGAUGAUGUUCUGUGAAUUAACCAAGACGCACAGGAUUUAAAUUUUACCUAUUUAAAUCUAUAAUUAAUGUUUUGACACCGUCCCC